rnacentral:rRNA from 1 species
UACGCAGGGGGCUAGCGUUGCUCGGAAUCACUGGGCGUAAAGGGUGCGUAGGCGGUUCUUUAAGUCAGGGGUGAAAUCCCAAGGCUCAACCUUGGAACUGCCUUUGAUACUGGGGAUCUCGAGUCCGGAAGAGGUUGGUGGAACUGCGAGUGUAGAGGUGAAAUUCGUAGAUAUUCGCAAGAACACCAGUGGCGAAGGCGGCCAACUGGUCCGGUACUGACGCUGAGGUGCGAAAGCGUGGGGAGCAAACAGG